GCUACUUUGGUAUAAUGGUUAUAAUGCUGUUAUUAUAAAUCAGAUUUGUCAGCUGUUAUCUAGAGGUCUCUGGUUCAAUCCCUGCUAGUGACA